rnacentral:rRNA from 1 species
GAUGAACGCUGGCGGCGUGCCUAAUACAUGCAAGUCGAGCGAAUGGAUUAAGAGCUUGCUCUUAUGAAGUUAGCGGCGGACGGGUGAGUAACACGUGGGUAACCUGCCCAUAAGACUGGGAUAACUCCGGGAAACCGGGGCUAAUACCGGAUAACAUUUUGAACCGCAUGGUUCGAAAUUGAAAGGCGGCUUCGGCUGUCACUUAUGGAUGGACCCGCGUCGCAUUAGCUAGUUGGUGAGGUAACGGCUCACCAAGGCAACGAUGCGUAACCGACGUGAGGGGGUGAUCGGCGACACUGGGACUGGAACACGGCCCAGACUCCUGCGGGAGGCAGCGGUAGGGAAUCUUCCGCAAUGGACGAAAGUCUGACGGAGCAACGCCGCGUGAGUGAUGAAGGCUUUCGGGUCGUAAAACUCUGUUGUUAGGGAAGAACAAGUGCUAGUUGAAUAAGCUGGCACCUUGACGGUACCUAACCAGAAAGCCACGGCUAACUACGUGCCAGCCGCCGCCGUAA